rnacentral:rRNA from 1 species
AGUUUGAUUCCGGCUCAGAUUGAACGCUGGCGGGAUGCUUUACACAUGCAAGUCGAACGGCAGCACGGACUUCGGUCUGGUGGCGAGUGGCGAACGGGUGAGAAUACCGGAACGUGCCUAUAGCGGGGAUAACUACGCGAAAGCAAGAAGCAUUACCGCAUACGCCCUUCGGGGGAAAGCGGGGACCUUCGGGCCUCGCACUAUUAGAGCGGCCGAUAUCGGAUUAGUUAGUUGGUGGGGUAACGGUCACCUGGGGCGACGAUCCGUAGCUGGUUUGAGAGGACGACCAGCCACACUGGGACUGAGACACGGCCCAGACUCCUACGGGAGGCAGCAGUGGGGAAUUUUGACAAUGGGGGAAACCCUGAUCCAGCCAUCCUCUACAAGGCGAUGGUGCCUUCUAUUAAGCACCUUUUUGGCAGGAGGUGGAACACGAGGGCUGUCAUCCCGGCAACUGACGACCUGCAGAAUAAUAUCGACAACACGGGCCAGCAGCCAGUGGGUGAACACGAGGUGCAGCAUGUUGAAUCGGAAUUCAUUGGCGUAAAGCGGCAGCAGGCGGUUCGGAAAGAAAGAUGUGAAAUCCCAGAGCUUAACUUUGAACUGCAUUUUUUAACUACCGAGCUAGAGUGUGUCAGAGGGAGGUGGAAUUCCAAGUGUAGCAGUGGGAAAUGCGUAGAUAUGCGGAGGAACACCGAUGGCGAAGGCAGCCUCCCUGGGACACUGACGCUCACGCACGAAAGCGUGGGGAGCAAACAGGAUUAGAUACCCUGGUAGUCCACGCCCUAAACGAUGUCAACUAGCUGUUGGGGCCUUCGGGCCUUGGUAGCGCAGCUAACGCGUGAAGUUGGACCGCCUGGGGAGUACGGUCGCAAGAUUAAAACUCAAAGGAAUUGACGGGACCCGCACAAGCGGUGGAUGAUGUGGAUUAAUUCGAUGCAACGCGAAAAACCUUACCUACCCUUGACAUGUCUGGAAUCCCGAAGAGAUUUGGGAAAGGUCAAGAGAACCGAACACAGGUGCUGUAUGGUUGUCGUCAGCUCGUGUCGUGAGAUGCUGGGUUAAGUCCCGCAACGAGCGCAACCCUUGUCAUUAGUUGCUACGAAAGGGCACUCUAAUGAGACUGCCGGUGACAAACCGGAGGAAAGAGGCGACGUCAAGUCCCUCAUGGCCCUUAUGGGUAGGGCUUCACACGUCAUACAAUGGUCGGGAAUAGAGGGUCGCCAACCCGCGAGGGGGAGCCAAUCCCAGAAACCCGAUCGUAGUCCGGAUCGCAGUCUGCAACUCGACUGCGUGAAGUCGGAAUCGCUAGUAAUCGCGGAUCAGCAUGUCGCGGUGAAUACGUUCCCGGGUCUUGUACACACCGCCCGUCACACCAUGGGGAGUGGGUUUACCAGGAAGUAGUUAGCCUAACCGUAAGAGGGCGAUUACCACGGUAGGAUUCAUGACUGGGGUGAAGUCGUAACAAAGGUAA